UAUGUCCAUAUCAGAUUCAGACACCGGUUCUCAUAUGAUCACUGAAGUUAAGCAACACUGAGCCUGAUCAGUACCUAGAUGGGUGACUGCUUGGGAAUACUAGGUUCUGUAAG